GUGGUUGAUCUAGCAACAGCUGCAUUGCUGAGCAGUGCAGUGCAGCCUUUACACAACCAUGGACAUUAAAACUGGUUCCUGCCGACAGGGUCUGUCAAGUAAUCGGACUACCUGUGCGAUGGCUCCAUACAAU